GAUGAACGCUAGCUGGAGGCUUAAUACAUGCAAGUCGAGCGGGAUUGGUAGCAAUACCAUGAGAGCGGCGCACGGGUGAGUAACGCGUACACGACCUACCUCUAACAGGGGGAUAGCCCUGGGAAACUGGGAUUAAUACCGCAUAUAAUUCUGAUAAAUAAAUGAUUGGAAUGAAAGUUUAGGCGGUUAGAGAUGGGUGU
rnacentral:rRNA from 1 species